AAAUCUCAGAGAUUUGACCAGGGAAGCAGAAAGCGGAUUUAGCUUGGCAUGUGAAGCUGCCGAAUGAAAACAUUUCAAGUAUGCAACCUAGACUUGUUUUUUCCCCCCUGAAAAGGACUAAUAUGGAAAUCUCAGCUCAUAGAGACCCCUCCGGAAGUUCUUCACAUUACUGGGCUGGCAUCUGUGGAGGUGGAACAAGAUGGUGAACUAGAAAGCUCCACCACUCACCCCUCCUCCUCUCCCCUGCAGGGAGUUUUUGACACCAAGUCAACAAGUAUCUACACAGAAAAAAACAGCUUCAUAAGAACAAGAAAUCAAGUGAACACUCAUAGUACGUGGUUUUAACUUCAUAUCACUUAAAAAGGAACUGAAGACAUAGAAGAAACAAUCCUGAAUCACUGCUGCUGGUCUCACUCAUCUCCAGCAGUAACAGUGUGGUCCUGAGAGCAUCUCUGUGGGCUGGGGGAGGAGAACACAGCAAUUGUGAGGCACUGAGCUCAGUGCUGUCCUGUUAGAGCAGGAAGGAAAACCAGACCAAACUCAGUGGAUGCUCGCCCACAGAGGGAGCAUUUAAACCAGCCCUAGCCAGAGGGGAAUCGCCAGUCCCAGUGGUCUGAACUUGAGUGCCUGCAAACCUCCUCACCCACAGCCAAAGUACUCUGGGUCUCUAAGUAAACUUGAAAGGCAGUCUAGGAGAGUCCUAGGGCUGAACGAGGCCCAGAGACAGUGGACUGGGGAAGCAUGCAACAUACUGAGACACAAGCUGGGGAAGCCAAGAGAAUGCUGGCAUCACCCCUCCUCUAACCCCAGGCUGCACAUCUAGUGGCUUCAAAAGAGACCCCCUUCCUUCUGCUUGAGAAGAGAAGAGGGAAGAGUGGGAGGACUUUGUCUUGUGGUUUGGAUGCCAGCUCAGCUGCAAUACAAUAGAAUCCCAGGUGGACUUCUAAGAUUUUGACUGUAGUCCCUCACUUCAGGAUGGUACUUCUGGACCCACUUGAGCCUGUAAGACCUCAAUGCCUUGAAGGGAAGGAUACAGGCCUGGAUGACUUUGCCACCUGCUAAUUGUAGAGUCUCAGGGCCUUGAUCAGAAAGGUCUGACCCAGCAAGGUCCUAGUAGUGGUGGCCACAGGGAUGACUGUGUCACUCCAUGCCCAGCUUUAGGUGGCUCAGAACAGAGAGAGGGAGACUCUGUAUGUUUGGGAGAAAGUAAAAGAAGAGAACACGAUUCUCAGCCUGGUAAUCCAGAGAAUUCUCCUGGAUUUUUUCCAAGACCAUCAAGGUGGUACCUCUACAAGUCUGCAAGAACCACAGUGUUACUGUGCUUGGGGUGUCCCUAAAGCCGAAACAGCUUAGAUCAGGGCACCUAAGUCCUUUCAAAUGUCUAGAAAGCCUUUCCAAGAAGGACGGCUACAAAUAAGCCCAGACAGUGAAGACUACACUAAAUGCCUAACUCCUCAAUGCCAGACUAAGAAUAAAAGAGAGAAGAUCAAAAUACAUACAAUCAGAAAUGAAAAAGAGGAGGCAUUACAACUGAUACUACAGAAACUCAAAGGAUCAUUAGUGGCUACUGUGAGCAACUAUAUGCCAAUAAAUUGGAAAAUCUAGAAGAAAUGGACAAAUUCCUAGAUACAUACAACAUACCAAUAUUGAACCAGGAAGAAAUCCAAAACCUGAACAGACCAAUAACAAGUAACAAGAUUGAAGCUGUAAUAAAAAUUCUCCCAGUAAAGAAAAGCCUGGGACCUGAUGGCUUCACUGCUGAAUUCUACCAAACAUUUAAAGAAAAACUAAUGCCAAUCUUACACAAUAUAUUCCAAAAAAUAGAGAAGGGAGUAUGUCCAAACUUAUUUUACAAGUCCAGUAUUACCCUGAUACCCAAACCAGACAAAAACAGAAAAAAAAAAACCCUACAGGCCAAUAUCUCUGAUGAAUAUUGAUGCAAAAAUUUU
rnacentral:lncRNA from 10 species